rnacentral:rRNA from 1 species
GCCGGAAGACCAAGGGUUCCUGUCCAACGUUAAUCGGGGCAGGGUGAGUCGACCCCUAAGGCGAGGCCGAAAGGCGUAGUCGAUGGGAAACGGGUUAAUAUUCCCGUACUUGGUGUUACUGCGAAGGGGGGACGGAGAAGGCUAUGUUGGCCGGGCGACGGUUGUCCCGGUUUAAGCGUGUAGGUGUGUGUUCCAGGUAAAUCCGGUUCACUUUAACACUGAGGCGUGACGACGAGGCACUACGGUGCUGAAGCAACAAAUGCCCUGCUUCCAGGAAAAGCCUCUAAGCAUCAGGUAACAUCAAAUCGUACCCCAAACCGACACAGGUGGUCAGGUAGAGAAUACCAAGGCGCUUGAGAGAACUCGGGUGAAGGAACUAGGCAAAAUGGUGCCGUAACUUCGGGAGAAGGCACGCUGACACGUAGGUGAAGUGAUUUACUCAUGGAGCUGAAGUCAGUCGAAGAUACCAGCUGGCUGCAACUGUUUAUUAAAAACACAGCACUGUGCAAACACGAAAGUGGACGUAUACGGUGUGACGCCUGCCCGGUGCCGGAAGGUUAAUUGAUGGGGUCAGCGCAAGCGAAGCUCCUGAUCGAAGCCCCGGUAAACGGCGGCCGUAACUAUAACGGUCCUAAGGUAGCGAAAUUCCUUGUCGGGUAAGUUCCGACCUGCACGAAUGGCGUAAUGAUGGCCAGGCUGUCUCCACCCGAGACUCAGUGAAAUUGAACUCGCUGUGAAGAUGCAGUGUACCCGCGGCAAGACGGAAAGACCCCGUGAACCUUUACUAUAGCUUGACACUGAACAUUGAGCCUUGAUGUGUAGGAUAGGUGGGAGGCUUUGAAGUGUGGACGCCAGUCUGCAUGGAGCCGACCUUGAAAUACCACCCUUUAAUGUUUGAUGUUCUAACGUGGACCCGUUACCCGGGUUGCGGACAGUGUCUGGUGGGUAGUUUGACUGGGGCGGUCUCCUCCUAAAGAGUAACGGAGGAGCACGAAGGUUGGCUAAUCCUGGUCGGACAUCAGGAGGUUAGUGCAAUGGCAUAAGCCAGCUUGACUGCGAGCGUGACGGCGCGAGCAGGUGCGAAAGCAGGUCAUAGUGAUCCGGUGGUUCUGAAUGGAAGGGCCAUCGCUCAACGGAUAAAAGGUACUCCGGGGAUAACAGGCUGAUACCGCCCAAGAGUUCAUAUCGACGGCGGUGUUUGGCACCUCGAUGUCGGCUCAUCACAUCCUGGGGCUGAAGUAGGUCCCAAGGGUAUGGCUGUUCGCCAUUUAAAGUGGUACGCGAGCUGGGUUUAGAACGUCGUGAGACAGUUCGGUCCCUAUCUGCCGUGGGCGCUGGAGAACUGAGGGGGGCUGCUCCUAGUACGAGAGGACCGGAGUGGACGCAUCACUGGUGUUCGGGUUGUCAUGCCAAUGGCACUGCCCGGUAGCUAAAUGCGGAAGAGAUAAGUGCUGAAAGCAUCUAAGCACGAAACUUGCCCCGA